rnacentral:tRNA from 1 species
GCCCCGUUCGUCUAGCGGCCCAGGACCCCGCCCUUUCACGGCGGUAGCGCCGGUUCGAAUCCGGUACGGGGUA